GAUGAACGCUGGCGGCGUGCCUAACACAUGCAAGUCGAACGGAGUUAUAUGAAGUUUUCGGACGGAUUAUAACUUAGUGGCGGACGGGUGAGUAACGCGUGGGUAACCUGCCUCAUACAGGGGGAUAACAGUUGGAAACGGCUGCUAAAACCGCAUAACAUUGCGACGUCGCAUGACGAUGCAAUUAAAUAUUUAUAGGUAUGAGAUGGGCCCGCGUCUGAUUAGCUAGUUGGUGGGGUAAUGGCCUACCAAGGCGACGAUCAGUAGCCGGCUUGAGAGAGUGACCGGCCACAUUGGGACUGAGACACGGCCCAAACUCCUACGGGAGGCAGCAGUGGGGAAUAUUGCACAAUGGGGGAAACCCUGAUGCAGCGACGCCGCGUGAGUGAAGAAGUAUUUCGGUAUGUAAAGCUCUAUCAGCAGGGAAGAUUAUGACGGUACCUGACUAAGAAGCCCCGGCUAACUACGUGCCAGCCGCCGCAGUAA
rnacentral:rRNA from 1 species